AUUGAACGCUGGCGGCAGGCCUAACACAUGCAAGUCGAACGAGUGGCGGACGGGUGAGUAAUGUCUGGGAAACUGCCCGAUGGAGGGGGAUAACUACUGGAAACGGUCGCUAAUACCGCAUACCAUCGGAUGUGCCCAGAUGGGAUUAGCUGGUAGGUGGGGUAACGGCUCACCUAGGCGACGAGCCCUAGCUGGUCUGAGAGGAUGACCAGCCACACUGGAACUGAGACACGGCCCAGACUCCUACGGGAGGCAGCAGGGGGGAAUAUUGCACAAUGGGCGCAAGCCUGACGCAGCCAUGCCGCGUGUAUGAAGAAGGCCUUCGGGUUGUAAAGUACUGUCAGCGGGGAGGCGGUACCCGAAGAAGAAGCAACGGCUAACUACGUGCCAGCCGCCGCGGUAAUAC
rnacentral:rRNA from 1 species